rnacentral:rRNA from 1 species
UACGUAGGGGGCAAGCGUUGUCCGGAAUUAUUGGGCGUAAAGAGCGCGUAGGCGGUCCGGUAAGUCCGCUCUGAAAGUCCGGGGCUCAACCCCGGGAGGCGGGCGGAUACUGUCGGGCUAGAGUCCGGAAGAGGCGAGUGGAAUUCCUGGUGUAGCGGUGAAAUGCGCAGAUAUCAGGAGGAACACCGAUGGCGAAGGCAGCUCGCUGGGACGGUACUGACGCUGAGGCGCGAAAGCGUGGGGAUCAAACAGG